rnacentral:lncRNA from 1 species
CUUCAGGAAGGGAUUCUGUGUCCCUGUUAUUGUGUGUCAACAUGUGCUAGCCUGAUAUUUAUAUUUUUAAUGAGAGAAAAUGAACUCCAGAAUUUGGGAACGUUUUUUCGGUUUUGCUUUAUACCUCUUGGACACUCCUUCCGAAGGAUUGGGUCUCAAGGGCAUUGGGGUGUGACUAUGGUAGACAAGGGUGAUUAAUUUUCAUCUAAAACUCUUUGGCGGAUUCCCCUGCUCUCCGGUUCUCCAGUCUAACAGUACUUUAAAACAGAAGAUCAGCCAACAUUUGGAGAGUUGUUUUCUUUGCAUUUUAAUGAUAAACUUGAUUUAUUCAAUUCUAAAA